rnacentral:misc_RNA from 1 species
AAGUCGUAACAAGGUUUCCGUAGGUGAACCUGCGGAAGGAUCAUUAACGAGUAACUGAACAGGUUGUAGCUGGUCUCUUCUCAGAGGCAUGUGCACGCCUGGCUCAUCCCACUCUUCAACCUCUGUGCACUUAUUGUAGGUCGGCAGAAGAGCGCAAGUCUUUAUUGAUUUCGCUUGAAAGCCUUCCUAUGUUUUACUACAAACGCUUCAGUUUAAGAAUGUAUCUCUGCGUAUAACGCAUUUUAUAUACAACUUUCAGCAACGGAUCUCUUGGCUCUC